CCUACGGGAGGCAGCAGUAAGGAAUAUUGGUCAAUGGACGAAAGUCUGAACCAGCCAUGCCGCGUGAAGGAUGAAGGUCCUCUGGAUUGUAAACUUCUUUUAUCUGGGACGAAAAAGGGCAUUCUUGCUCACUUGACGGUACCAGAGGAAUAAGCACCGGCUAACUCCGUGCCAGCAGCCGCGGUAAUACGGAGGGUGCAAGCGUUAUCCGGAUUCACUGGGUUUAAAGGGUGCGUAGGUGGGUUGGUAAGUCAGUGGUGAGAUCUCCGAGCUUAACUCGGAAACUGCCAUUGAUACUAUCAGUCUUGAAUUUUCUGGAGGUAAGCGGAAUAUGUCAUGUAGCGGUGAAAUGCUUAGAUAUGACAUAGAACACCCAUUGCGAAGGCAGCUUACUACGGGAUAAUUGACACUGAGGCACGAAAGCGUGGGGAUCAAACAGGAUUAGAUACCCUGGUAGUCCACGCCCUAAACGAUGGAUACUCGACAUCAGCGAUACACUGUUGGUGUCUGAGCGAAAGCAUUAAGUAUCCCACCUGGAAGUACGACCGCAAGUUGAAACUCAAAGGAAUUGACGG
rnacentral:rRNA from 1 species